rnacentral:tRNA from 1 species
UGGCUCAGUUGGUAGAGCAUGGCGCUUGCAACGCCAGGGUUGUGGGUUUGAUUCCCAC